rnacentral:rRNA from 1 species
AUUGAACGCUGGCGGCAGGCCUAACACAUGCAAGUCGAGCGGAUGAAGGGAGCUUGCUCCUGGAUUCAGCGGCGGACGGGUGAGUAAUGCCUAGGAAUCUGCCUGGUAGUGGGGGAUAACGUCCGGAAACGGGCGCUAAUACCGCAUACGUCCUGAGGGAGAAAGUGGGGGAUCUUCGGACCUCACGCUAUCAGAUGAGCCCAGGUCGGAUUAGCUAGUUGGUGGGGUAAAGGCCUACCAAGGCGACGAUCCGUAACUGGUCUGAGAGGAUGAUCAGUCACACUGGAACUGAGAAACGGUCCAGGCUCCUACGGGAGGCAGCAGUGGGGAAUAUUGGACAAUGGGCGAAAGCCUGAUCCAGCCAUGCCGCGUGUGUGAAGAAGGUCUUCGGAUUGUAAAGCACUUUAAGUUGGGAGGAAGGGCAGUAAGUUAAUACCUUGCUGUUUUGACGUUACCAACAGAAUAAGCACCGGCUAACUUCGUG